AAGUUCUCUCUCAAAGCAGCCGCUUCUCGUGUUGAAACCCUAAUCUGGUGGCCGCCGCCUCUCGCGGUCACCGGAUCUAGUUUCCAAAGUCGUUUUCCUGUCUUGUCUCCGUUCAUAUCCCUUUUCCUCCUCCGCGAGUUGUCUCUUCUACCCGGUGUACUGCAGAGCAGUGUGAAGAACCUCUGUUUUUUUAGAUCCAUUGAAACUUUGGUAGAUCUUUGUGGUGAAAGGGUGUUUGUGGGUGGUGUAUAGGUUUGCACCUUCCUCUGGUCUCCGUUUGCGACUCUGAUCGAGACAGUUUGAAAGGAGUUGAAUCCAGUUAUCUUCUCUGGGAGUUUUAGAGUGUGGCUUAGUUGGUCCUUGAUUUAGCAACGGGUUAGCAUUAAUGUGGUGGUGUGUGAUGAGCAGGUGAAGAUUCUGUCUUUGUGAUGAAGUUGGUCGCAGGUUUCCUUUUCAUCUCUCUGUUUGGAAUGGUCUUACUUCUGAUCUUUUAUUAAGUGUUGUUCCUGGUAUGUUUUUGCUCUCUGUUUGCCCUCGGUGGCUUCAUUUGGUGAAGCAAUAUAAUGAGGCUGAGAUGCAAAAGCUUUCAGAUGAUGGUGCGUUUGAGUGAGACCUUCCUUCUAUGAUGUUUCUUCAUGGUUUCUGCCUUGGUUCAAGCGUAGUGGUUCGUUGGUUUUAUCGUGAACAGGAGGUUCAGAUGAGAUCGUUGUGGUUUGGUGUUGUCAUCGUGAACUUGUGGUUCAGAUGAGGACUUGGCUCUUCACGAAGAAGUCUUCUACGUUAUGUGCUCUCUUGUUUAGUUCAUUGCAAGUCUUCCGGCUAGUCAUUGUCUUUUUAAGUUUUACUCUUGUAUUUUUGGAGGUUUGGUUCUGGGUUCGUGUAAGGAAUGUUAGGAUUUGGUCGAUGGUUCUUUGUUGAUAUGUAGCCCGUGUGUUUUGGGUUCUUGGUCCCCCUAGUGGGUUUAGUUUCCG